rnacentral:lncRNA from 1 species
CUAUAUGGACCUCAGGUAUUAGAAAGGCUGCUUGAAGCUUUGUGCCAAAGACCAUUGAAGCUUUCUGCAACACAAUGAACCCGUGCUUUCAGAGGGCCCAGUUUCACACUGUGUGACUGUACUACACCAGGAGCUAAGGACCACCAAACUCAUCAUAUACUGCUGCAAGUGUGAGGUCCUGGUCCCGCUCUUUUCGCCAGUCUGGAGCAACGUUUGGAGGAGCCCAGCAGCCUGGUCCUUUCCGUAGCUUCCAAGGAUUUUUAGGAUCGCAGGAUUUACAGACCCGCGAAAACCCCUGGAGGACGUUAGCUGUGGAUAAAAGCCUCUGGAAAUGCCUACCGUCUUCCUUACCUCUUGUUUCUUCUUGGGUGACCUGCACGUCGUUUGGGAAGGGAGCCUCUCCGUUCUUGGAGGAUUACGUCUAACCAGCCACUUGCCACCCUCACUGGAAUACAUCUGCUAAGUUUUCCCAGGAUGGAGAAAUUACUACAUGUGGCAGAAGGCUAUUUUUCCCUUCUCCCGGAACUCUCCCAGAGCGCAGCGGUGCUCUCGUCCAGCAGGUGACACCUGCUCGUAUUGUCGAGUCCCAGGAGUCCUCCGUAAGCUUAGUCUUUGUAAGUCUAGAAAUGAGUGAACCUCAAACCAUGCAGAGGUCUCGGUUGACUGCAGAAAGGAGAGAGGAAGAGCGUCUGGAAGGGAGCUCAGAUCCCGCCAGGGUUUCCCAGGAAAUGAGGGACUUGCACUGUACUUCAUUUCAGACGGAUCCAGUGAAUUAA